rnacentral:tRNA from 1 species
GUGAGCAUAGUUUAAAUCAAAACAUCAGACUGUGGACCUGACAACAGAAGCCUGCACC